GACAGAGGGUGCAAACGUUGUUCGGAAUUACUGGGCGUAAAGCGUGUGUAGGCGGCUUUGCAAGUCGGAUGUGAAAGCCCAGGGCUCAACCCUGGAAGUGCACUCGAUACUGCAGAGCUUGAGUAUCGGAGAGGUUGGUGGAAUUCUCGGUGUAGAGGUGAAAUUCGUAGAUAUCGAGAGGAACAUCGGCGGCGAAGGCGGCCAACUGGACGAAUACUGACGCUGAGACACGAAAGCGUGGGGAGCAAACAGG
rnacentral:rRNA from 1 species